rnacentral:tRNA from 1 species
CAAAGUGUAGCUUAAACAUAAAGCAUCUGGCCUACACCCAGAAGAUUUCAAUAACCAAUGACCACUUUGA